GGCUGGUCCAAAGGUAGUAAGUUAUCUCAAUUGACUGUUCACAGUCAGUUAUGGAUUGAACUUCUGGGUUCUACUCUUUUCCUCCUUCUCACUACUGCACUUGACUAGUCUCAU
rnacentral:Y_RNA from 1 species